GACGAACGCUGGCGGCGUGCUUAACACAUGCAAGUCGAACGGAAAGGCCCUGCUUUUGUGGGGUGCUCGAGUGGCGAACGGGUGAGUAACACGUGAGUAACCUGCCCUUUACUUUGGGAUAACUUCAGGAAACUGGGGCUAAUACCGGAUAGGAGCUCCUGCUGCAUGGUGGGGGUUGGAAAGUUUCGGCGGUAGGGGAUGGACUCGCGGCUUAUCAGCUUGUUGGUGGGGUAGUGGCUUACCAAGGCUUUGACGGGUAGCCGGCCUGGGAGGGUGACCGGCCACAUUGGGACUGAGAUACGGCCCAGACUCCUACGGGAGGCAGAAGUGGGGAAUAUUGCACAAUGGGCGGAAGCCUGAUGCAGCAACGCCGCGUGCGGGAUGACGGCCUUCGGGUUGUAAACCGCUUUCGCCUGUGACGAAGCGUGAGUGACGGUAAUGGGUAAAGAAGCACCGGCUAACUACGUG
rnacentral:rRNA from 1 species